GAUGACAACCAGGUCCCAUUCUUGACUCUGCUACAUACCAGCUCUGUCUUGGGGUAAAACUACUUAACAGCUCUACUUCUGUGGCCUCGGCUGGAAGAAAAAAAAAGUAUGGAAUUUCCUGUCCUCCAGAGGUUUAAGCUGUCUGAUGAUGUAUGUGCACACAUGUGUUGACUCCCUAUGGAGUCAACUAGUGGCUUGUUGGAAAAGUCAUGGCAUAUUUUUCUGUUUUUCAUGAUUUUUCCAGUAAUCCAACUGUUGCAGUAUGUCACUGGCCCACAGGACAGAGAAAUCGAGAGGGGAAGGAGAGAAAGAGAGACCUGCAGAUCUGCUUGACCACUCAUGAAUCUUUCCUCCUGCAGGUUAUAAUCACCCUGAAUCAAGCAAGUUCACGAAUACCACCUUUCCAACAGAAGAUGUUCUCUUCACAUCUGUAUCACAUUUAAUCCAGGUGGAGAUGGGGUGCUUGAACAUGAUAAUGUGUACAACCUACCAGGCAAGUCACCACCCAGCCCCUGCAAUGUACAUUUUAUUUUACUUUAUUUUUUUGCCACCAGUAUUAUCUCUAGGGCUUAGUACCUGCACAAUGAAUCCAUUGCUCCCAGUGGUCACUUUUUCCUUUUCUGAAAUUAUGAUAGAUACAGAGAGAAAUAAGUCAAGAGAUGGGGAGAGUAGGAGAGAGAAAGAAAGACACCUGCAGCUUGCUCUACCACUCAUGAAGCUUCCACCCUGUGGGUGGGGACUGAGGGUUCAAACCUGGGACCUUGUGCAUGGGAACUUGCCCAGCCCCCAGUAUGUACUUUUUUUAAAAAAAACAUAACGUUACUAUAUGCUUACUAGACAGCAGAGGAAGGUAAACAUAGCUUUCAUGCACUGGGAAACAAACACAAAAUGUGUAUGACUUGCUUUGCUGCAGUAUUUUAUGACAGUGGCCUGGAUCUUCAAUAUCUCCCAGGAGUGCCUAUGUAGGGGGUAACCUUGAAUUUACUCUAAAAAUAACAGCCCAGAAUAAAUCACUAAAUGCUGAAUCAAGUUUUUUUUUUUAAAAGACUUUAUUUAUUCAUUAAUGAGAAAAAUAGGAGGAGAGAAGAAAAGAACCAGAUAUCACUCUGGUACAUGUGCUGCUGGGGAUUGAACUCAGGACCUCAUGCUUGAGAAUUCAAUGCUUUAUCCACUACACCACCUUCCAGAUCACACUGAAUCCAGUUUUUAGUAAUUAUUAGUAAUAAACGACUAGUGAACUGAGCAGACAGCAUCUGCUCCAGAUCCUGGAAGGUAGCAUUGUGCUGCCACUUGACAGUUCCAGAUGCAGAGCAGUGGAAGCUGAUGGACUAGUGAAGGAAAAUCCUAUGUUGGGUGGAAAAGGCCUCUGCUGCACUUGCUGGGCUUGGAGCUGGCUGGUAUUUGCAGGGGGUUGUGUAGGCUUGUCUCACUGUGUUUGGUUGACAAUGAAGAGGAGUUGAACCUCCUUUCUGGGAACCUGGGGUUUUUUCCUCCAUCUAAAGCAUCUACUUGGAAUUUUUUCAAAUUGUAACCUGAUCUUUGGGUCCUUUCCUCUGUGAUUGAUGUCCCCUGGUUUGCUUUAGAUGCCCUAGACCUUUCUGAUUUCAAGUUGUCCUUAAAACACGCCUUCUUGGGAGUCUGGUGGAAAGCACAGUGGGUUAAGCGCAGGUGGUUCAAAGUGCAAGGACCUGGGUAAGGAUCCCGGUUAGAGCCUCCGGCUCCCCACCUGCUGGGUAGUUUCUUCACAAGUGGUGAAGUAGGUCUGCAGGUGUCUAUCUUUCUCUCCCCCUUUCUGUCUUCCCCUCCUUUCUCCACUUCUCUCUGUCCUAUCCAACAACGAGGACAUCAACAGCUACAACAAUAAAACAAGAGCAACAAAAGGGAAUAAAUAAAUAAGUAUUAUAAAAAACAUGCCUCCUUGCUGCCCAGUUUAUUAAUGCCAGCCUUUGUUGUCAUCAGUGAUCAUGAGGAUACUUAUUAGCAGUCAUGUUCCUUUGCUCUACUCAUAGUAUGGAGUAGAGAUUUUUCUUUUUCUUUUCUUUUUUGCCUCUAGGCUUAUCGCUGGGGCUCCAUGUCAGCACUACUAAAGCCACUGCUCCAGGCAGACAUUUUUUUCAUUUUUUUUUUUUUUAUUGGAUAGGACAGAGAGAAAUUGAGAGAUGAGGGGAAGAUGGAGGUGGGGGGGGGAGAAAGAUAAACACUUGCAAAUCUGCUUCACUUUGAAGUGACCCCCUUGCAGGUGGGGAACCAGGGGCUCCAAUCGGGAUCCCUGAGCAGGUCCUAAUGGUGCACCACUGCCAGGCCCUCUGGAGUAGUGAUUUUAUAACUCAAUGUUGACUGCCCUGGGAACUCAUUCUUUUAAAGAAUUUUUAAAAAGUAUUUAUUUAUUUAUUCCCUUUUGUUGCCCUUGUUGUUUUAUUGUUGUAGUUAUUAUUGUUAUUGUUACUGUUAUUGAUAUCAUUGUUGUUGGAUAGGACAGAGAGAAAUGGAGAGAGGAGGGGAAGACAGAGAGGGGAAGAGAAAGACACCGGCAGACCUGCUUCCUGGCUUGUGAAGA